rnacentral:rRNA from 1 species
AGCCUUUUGUUUAUAAUUAAAGGUGAGUCCUGUCCGGUGUGCAAUUGCCAUAAACGACCGCAGUACACCACUGUGCUAAGGUAGCGUAAUCAUUUGCCUCUUAAUUAGAGGCUUGUAUGAAUGGAUAAACAAAGUUCUUGUUUAUUAUUUCUAUAAUGUGAAUUUAUAUUGUAGGUGAAAAUACCUAUAUUUGUCAGGUAGACGAGAAGACCCUAAGAUCUAGUUCUUAUUUACUGUGUUAUUAUUAAUUAAUUUAAUAGUUUAUAAGAGUAUGGUUGGGGCAACCUAGGAAUACUAACUUCCUAAAAUUAAUAAUAUAUCUUUUUUAUAAUUAGUAAUUUAGUUACCUUAGGGAUAACAGCGUGAUCAUGCUUAAGAGUUCUUAUCUAAAGCAUAGUUUACGACCUCGAUGUUGAAUCAGGAUACCCUUUAAGUGUAGCCGCUUAAUAUGGUUAGUCUGUUCGACUAUUAAAAUCCUACG